rnacentral:rRNA from 1 species
AGAGUUUGAUCCUGGCUCAGGAUGAACGCUAGCUACAGGCUUAACACAUGCAAGUCGAGGGGCAUCGGGAAGAAAGCUUGCUUUCUUUGCCGGCGACCGGCGCACGGGUGAGUAACACGUAUCCAACCUGCCCUUUACUCGGGGAUAGCCUUUCGAAAGAAAGAUUAAUACCCGAUAGCAUAAUGAUUCCGCAUGGUUUCAUUAUUAAAGGAUUCCGGUAAAGGAUGGGGAUGCGUUCCAUUAGGUUGUUGGUGAGGUAACGGCUCACCAAGCCUUCGAUGGAUAGGGGUUCUGAGAGGAAGGUCCCCCACAUUGGAACUGAGACACGGUCCAAACUCCUACGGGAGGCAGCAGUGAGGAAUAUUGGUCAAUGGGCGGUAGCCUGAACCAGCCAAGUAGCGUGAAGGAUGAAGGCUCUAUGGGUCGUAAACUUCUUUUAUAUAAGAAUAAAGUGCAGUAUGUAUACUGUUUUGUAUGUAUUAUAUGAAUAAGGAUCGGCUAACUCCGUGCCAGCAGCCGCGGUAAUACGGAGGAUCCGAGCGUUAUCCGGAUUUAUUGGGUUUAAAGGGAGCGUAGGUGGACUGGUAAGUCAGUUGUGAAAGUUUGCGGCUCAACCGUAAAAUUGCAGUUGAUACUGUCAGUCUUGAGUACAGUAGAGGUGGGCGGAAUUCGUGGUGUAGCGGUGAAAUGCUUAGAUAUCACGAAGAACUCCGAUUGCGAAGGCAGCUCACUGGACUGCAACUGACACUGAUGCUCGAAAGUGUGGGUAUCAAACAGGAUUAGAUACCCUGGUAGUCCACACAGUAAACGAUGAAUACUCGCUGUUUGCGAUAUACAGUAAGCGGCCAAGCGAAAGCAUUAAGUAUUCCACCUGGGGAGUACGCCGGCAACGGUGAAACUCAAAGGAAUUGACGGGGGCCCGCACAAGCGGAGGAACAUGUGGUUUAAUUCGAUGAUACGCGAGGA